UACAGAGGGGGCAAGCGUUGUUCGGAAUCACUGGGCGUAAAGGGCGCGUAGGCGGCCGAUCAAGUCGGGGGUGAAAGCCUGUGGCUCAACCACAGAAUUGCCUCGAUACUGUUUGGCUUGAGACCGGAAGAGGGAAGCGGAAUUUCCGGUGUAGCGGUGAAAUGCGUAGAUAUCGGAAGGAACACCAGUGGCGAAAGCGGCUUCCUGGUCCAGCACCGACGUCAGGCACGAAAGCGUGGGGAGCAAACGGG
rnacentral:rRNA from 1 species